rnacentral:rRNA from 1 species
UGGAAACGACUGCUAAUACCGCAUAAGCCCACGGCUCGGCAUCGAGCAGAGGGAAAAGGAGCAAUCCGCUUUGAGAUGGCCUCGCGUCCGAUUAGCUAGUUGGUGAGGUAACGGCCCACCAAGGCGACGAUCGGUAGCCGGACUGAGAGGUUGAACGGCCACAUUGGGACUGAGACACGGCCCAGACUCCUACGGGAGGCAGCAGUGGGGAAUAUUGCACAAUGGGGGAAACCCUGAUGCAGCGACGCCGCGUGGAGGAAGAAGGUCUUCGGAUUGUAAACUCCUGUUGUUGAGGAAGAUAAUGACGGUACUCAACAAGGAAGUGACGGCUAACUACGUGCCAGCAGCCGCGGUAAAACGUAGGUCACAAGCGUUGUCCGGAAUUACUGGGUGUAAAGGGAGCGCAGGCGGGAGAACAAGUUGGAAGUGAAAUCCAUGGGCUCAACCCAUGAACUGCUUUCAAAACUGUUUUUCUUGAGUAGUGCAGAGGUAGGCGGAAUUCCCGGUGUAGCGGUGGAAUGCGUAGAUAUCGGGAGGAACACCAGUGGCGAAGGCGGCCUACUGGGCACCAACUGACGCUGAGGCUCGAAAGUGUGGGUAGCAAACAGGAUUAGAUACCCUGGU